GAGACAGUUCUCUCUUGAGGCAGUCAGGGCUGGUGGCUGUGGCUUGAGUAAUCUGAAUUCUCAGCUAGUCCCAACAUCCAAGAGGGCAUAUUCACCUGGCUGAGGGCCGGCUUCCUCAGUCACGAGGCCUCAGCUCCACGUGAUCCAAGCAGGAGCUGCUGAUCCUUGGAAAAGAAUGGCUCAGGGCAGCGAGCUCUCCUUUGCUUACCUGCAGGGAGCGCGUUAGGGAAGGCGUUCUCUCUCGAGAAGGAAGCUCAGUCGUCCUUAACCUUCGACACAUGUAGAUGAAAGAGGCUCUUCUCUUAUUAUAUGAGUUGCUUAUUGUUACUUAAAUGGAAAGUUUACCACGGUGGAUGCAGGCAAGAAAUGGAAAGCAAAUUUUGUUAAUCGGGAGCACAGAAUUCUGCAGUCAACUGACGAGUGUAGCAACACAGCAAGGACAGGAGGAUAUCGGACGGUUGCACUCGUGAUGACUGAGGAAUGUUUGUUUCAUCACAAAGUAAUAGAUUGGAAAAACCUGCAUACAUUACUGUCCAGGGGAGCCGUAAAUAAGACGAACUUCUUACACAAAGUAUCUUUUCUCGAGAGAGAGGUGGAUUUUUGCCAGAGCCAUUUCCAUUAAUUUCCUCACAGAGUGUCUUCGGCAAUCCUGACCCGCCGUGUGGAGGGAGCAUUCGGAGAGGCGCUGCCCGCUCUGCGAGCUCGCUGCCGCGCUGCUCAGUCAGGGGAUGCAUUGCCGAGGUAAAAGCUCUCUCUGAAAGUCAAUCAUUUGAAGAGUGGCGUCAAGAGGGGACUUUUGUGAUAUAAAAAUAACUGAACAGCAUUUCAUUCUGGUGAUUUGGACACUUUGUUCACAGGUAUAUUGCACAACUGGCUCUCUGCUGUGAAUUCAGAGGCUGAUCUUCCCUCCCUCCUUUCCUCCUCUCGCUUCCUUCUAUUUUAGUUUCGACAAAAAGUUCAUUUGUUUCUAUUUUUUUUUUUUUUUUUUUUUUUUUACAAAGGGUCCUGGAACUGUCUCCCUUGGAUACUAAGGGGCAAAAGUAUUCCUGUUUGGGACGAAGGGACUUUGAUACCAGUCAGGAGUACAUUGCACUUCCCUAAGAAUUGUCUACAAAGCCACCGUUACUACUGUGUAAUUUAAGAUCACAGAAAAAUGCUUGGUGGAAACACGAUGCAGUAAGAUCUUCGCACAGCUGUCAGAGGUUUCGCGCCCGUCCCCAUCCCCAUGGGCCUGCCAGGCCCCGCCCGACGCCACAGUCCUGUACCAAGGUUGUCUGGGUUGAGGACACAGUGAUAUUCUACUGUGUGCGUUUUUGAAUUGAAGAAUGUUUGCUAGGCUUUGGAAUGAGUGAACAGAGCAUGCUGGGAGAAACUACCUGUCUCUGUGUAUCUGUCUGUGUGUGGACCACCACUAGCCUGCUCAGGGGCUGCACAGUCUGUUCCCGCGCUCAGGACCUUUCAAAGCUGACCGGAAGUGAGUCCCGGAGCUCCCGGCAGGGCGGGGAAGAGAAGCGUGGAUUUCUGUGACCCAAGCUGCGAUCCUUCCGCCCCCUUUGUCUCCGCUGCAGGUACACUGAGGGACAUCCGUGCGGCGUGAUCACACGGCAGGAGACCUGGCCUGGAAUCAGGCGCUUGGAAGACGGCUCCACUUCCUCCUCCUCACGCGAGUGUCCUGCUCGACUUCUCAGCUGUCCACCGCCCGCACGGAACCGAGGGGCGCAGACGUUUCUUUGCCGCUGUCUCGCACUUGCUGUGUGCCCGCACCGGGCUUCGUUAUCACAGCUAAUUAAGAUGAUGCUGGAAGGCUGCACUGUGCUUCAUGUUCGCUAUUUACUGAAUAUUAGGGGUUACUCUACUCUCCUUAGCAGCGGAGACAGAGAAGUAUCAGGAGCUUAAAAAUGCCCGGUGGCUCAGAAGUCAAUGGUGCGUACGUGGGAGCUCACAGGUGCUGCAGCACAGGGGCUGGAGGGCCCCACUGUGGGGAGGAGGGCACACUGGAGUCUGACAGGGGGAAGCUCUGCAGUCCUGGGCGGAGUGCAGCCCACUCACCUUUCCAGCUGGUCAUGAAGUCCUUCUUCACAUCAGAAAAAUCUACACAACCAACCACUCCAGCCUCGAACACAGGCACGAGGAUGAGCUCCACACCAAAGACUUUAGAAAUUCAACACUGAACUUUCUCUUCACUCAAAGAGUGACGAGUUAUUCAUUCCUCAGUAAGAAGGACCUUGGGGUUCAUAUUAUUGCAUUUGUAACCUUGAGAAGUAACCUCUGCACAGCUGCAGUAAUGCUGUGAGAAUGCACUCACUGUCAGCAAAUUUCAUUCUCAC
ensembl:lncRNA